GUAGUUUUUUAAUUGAAAGCUUGUAUGAAUGGUUUAACGAAAUAUUAUCUGUUUCAAAAAAAUUUUAUUAAAAAUUAAUUUUUUAGUUAAAAAGCUAAAAUAACAUUAAAAGACGAGAAGACCCUAUAGAUUUUUAUAUUUUAUUAAAAAUAAAAUAUUUAGAAAAUUUAAUUUUUUUUUUAUUAAAUUAUUUUGUUGGGGUGACAGUAAAAUUUUAUAAUCUUUUAUUUUUAUUUAACAAUGAUUUUUGAUUUUUUGAUCCAUAAUUUAUGAUUAAAAGAUUAAAUUACCUUAGGGAUAACAGCGUUAUUUUUUUGUAGAGUUCUUAUCGAUAAAAAUUUUUGC
rnacentral:rRNA from 1 species